UACGUAGGGUGCGAGCGUUGUCCGGAAUUAUUUGGACGUAAAGAGCUCGUAGGCGGCUUCGUAAGUCGGAUGUGAAAUCUCACGGCUUAACUGUGAGCGGCCAUUCGAUACUGCGAGGCUAGAGGUCGGUAGGGGGACAUGGAAUUCCUGGUGUAGCGGUGAAAUGCGCAGAUAUCAGGAGGAACACCGGUGGCGAAGGCGGUGUCCUGGGCCGAUCCUGACGCUGGAGGAGCGAAAGCUGGGGGAGCAAACAGG
rnacentral:rRNA from 1 species